ACUUGUCAUUUCUUGCCCUUCUCUUAGUAUU
rnacentral:sRNA from 1 species